GAGGGAGGAUGUGGAGGGAGGCAUAUGGAGGCAUGGCAUUUAAAAAUAGUGAAUUAUUCUACCUACUGAGGUGGUGAAAAGAAGAGGAGGCUGAGAAUUCUUCUAGCCCUGACAGCAGACAGGGGACCCCCUGGGAUGGAUCCAGGUAUUUGACUUGCUUCAGAAGACUCUGGAAGCUACCUAUUGCCCAGUAUUUUCCACUGCGGUCCCAGAGAGCCUUAGACUGUAUCCCCACCUGCUGGACACCAAGGAGAUCAACAACCCUGUCUCAGCUUUUUCUUUACAACAUACUAAAACUUCACUAAUACUCCACUUUUAUUCCAAGAUUAAAUUCUUCCUUCUCGGGCGCCUGGGAGUCUGCUUCUCCCUCUGACCCUCUUCCCUCUCGUGCUCUCUAUCUCUCAUUCUCUCUCUCAAAUAGAUAAAUAAAAUCUUAAAAAAAA